rnacentral:rRNA from 1 species
GCUGUGUAAAAUGAGCUUGCGUCCUAUUAGCUAGUUGGUGAGGUAAUGGCUCACCAAGGCUACGAUGGGUAGGGGUUCUUAGUGGAAGGUCCCCCACACUGGCACUGAGAUACGGGCCAGACUCCUACGGGAGGCAGCAGUAGGGAAUAUUGGUCAAUGGGCGCAAGCCUGAACCAGCCAUGCCGCGUGCAGGAUGAAGGCUCUCUGAGUUGUAAACUGCUUUUGUACAGGAGCAAAAAAAUCCCUGCGGGGGUUCUUGAGAGUACUGUAAGAAUAAGCACCGGCUAAUUCCGUGCCAGCAGCCGCGGUAAUACGGGAGGUGCAAGCGUUAUCCGGUUUUAUUGGGUUUAAAGGGUGCGUAGGCGGCUUAUUAAGUCAGUUGUGAAAUCCUAGUGCUUAACGCUAGAACUGCGAUUGAUACUAUUAGGCUUGAGUUAAGAAAGAGGU